GCCGGAGUGGUGGAAUUGGUAGACACAAGGGACUUAAAAUCCCUCGCCUGGCGACGGGCGUGCCGGUUCGAGUCCGGCCUUCGGCACCA
rnacentral:tRNA from 1 species